rnacentral:snoRNA from 1 species
ACGACCUUACUUGAACAGGAUCUGUUCUAUAGGUGCGUACCUCUGUGUCCUAGAGUUCUAAGGAGACAGGAAUCAAAGUCUGGCCGUGCGACCAGAGCGUGAGUAGCAGCUCCGUUGGCCUCCCGGGGCCACGGUUGCGGCGGAGGAUCGUCCUCAGCCCCCGGAAUCGGGGUUCUGGGGUGGUUGCAUGGCGUUCUGACAGACU